ensembl:lncRNA
AAAAUAUAGCUGCAAGCAGCGAUUACCGGGGUUCAAGCACUUUAAGACCUUUGGGGUGGUCUCGGCCAACCUGGAUGUAUGGCUGACAAACUUUGACUCAAUGAGAUUUUAAAUGUUAUAACAGUCGUUUUAUAAUGUUUUCACAUGAAUCCAUGAAACAUUUGAACAGUACUGUUUAAGUUAGUUGAAUGAGCCCAUUAGUGAUCUUCCGCUGCCAUCUAGUGGUUAAAAAUGGCAAUUUCCCAUACAACACUGUGUUUUUAAAAUUUAUAACUAUUAGAGUGUUAUUUUUUGCCCAAUCCCUCUUAAAUUUUGCAUGCUUCUCUAGAAUGAAAAUAUGCAUUAUUUUACACAGUUUUGAUCAUUUGUGGGCUUUCUGUUUGUAUUAAUAGGCCUUUGGGUACACUAUGUAAAGGACAUAUUUAUUAACAGGUUUAUAGUUUUCCAAAUGAAAUUGUUAAACUUUUUUUGAUAGUUAUUGACCUACAGAGUCUAGAGAAUUGUACUUCAGUGGUUUUAUUGAUUUUCAGCUUAAACUGUUGGACUAGUUUGCAAAAGUAGCAUUUUAAAUAAUCUUGAAUAUUUAAUUAACAGUUUUAUUGACAACAUUGGUCCAAAAGUUUUUCAGAAUGAGGUGCUCUAUCAUAUGAUAUGAAUAUCUAGUGUUUGUGUGAAUAUAUGAGAGUUUUAACUAAUUUGAGGCUAUAUACCAUAUAAAUCUUGAGUUUUUGAGGCCUUUGUAACUGUUUUUACCACCACCUAUGAUCCGAUCUCUAUGAAACUUUGUAUAAUUGUUAAGAGUAAUCUGACACAUGUUGUCAUCAAGUUUUGUAAAGUUUUGAGUUUUUGUUUAGGUUUUAUAGGCUUUUGGGUAUUUUGGCCACACCCCUUUUCUAAAUUAACCUGUUAUAGCUAACCAAAGGACAAAAUUCAACAUUUUUUUGAUAAUUAUUGAUCUAGAGAGUGCAGAGAAUUGUUCUGUAGUAGUUUGAUCGAGAUUAAGUGGAAAACCUAGCACUAGUUCGCGAAAGUAUGUUUUUAACAUAUUUGUGAAUAUUUAAUGAACGAUUUGAUUGACAGCAUUAGGCCUAGAGGCAAAGUUGUUCAGACUGAGGAGUUCUAUCAUAUGAUAUGAAGAUCUUGUGUUUCUGUGAAUAUAUGAACAUGUUCUACAAUAUGAGGUCAUUUUCUGUAGAAAUCUUGUGUUUUUUGAUGCCCUCUUAACUGUUAUAGCGCCACCUAUGGUCCGAUCUCCAUGAAUCUUUGUAUGCUUGUUAAGAGUCAUCUGCUACAUGUUUCCACCAAGUUUCAUAAAGUUUUGAGUUUUCAUUUAGGUUUUAUAGGCUAUUGGGUAUAUUUGGCCACGCCCCUUUUAAAAAUGACCCAGUUAUAGCUAACCAAAGGACAAAAUUCAAUUUUUUUUUGAUAAUUAUUGAUCUAGAGAGUCCAGAGAAUAUUACUGCAGUGGUUUGGUUCCGAU